GUGCUCACCUCAGCAGCUCAUGUACUAAAAUUGGAACGAUACAGAGAAGAUUUGCAUGGCCCCUGCUUAAGGAUGACAUGCAACUUCAUGAAGCGUUCCAUAUUUUU
rnacentral:snRNA from 1 species